rnacentral:rRNA from 1 species
UUCAAUAAAUCCAAGAAUUUCACCUCUGACAAUUGAAUACUGAUGCCCCCGACUGUCCCUAUUAAUCAUUACGGCGGUCCUAGAAACCAACAAAAUAGAACCACACGUCCUAUUCUAUUAUUCCAUGCUAAUGUAUUCGAGCAUAGGCCUGCUUUGAACACUCUAAUUUUUUCAAAGUAAAAGUCCUGGUUCCCCGGCACACCAAGUGAAUGGCAUGGGGUUCCCCAGAGGGAAAGGCCCGGCCGGACCAGUGCACGCGGUGAGGCG